rnacentral:tRNA from 1 species
GGCCAAAUGGUCUAGUAGUAUGAUUCGCCCUUCGGGUUCCACCCGCCGUUCUUCGGCAGAUGUGGGCGAGGUCCCGGGUUCAAUUCCCGGUUUGGCCC